rnacentral:rRNA from 1 species
UUACUGGGCGUAAAGCGUGCGUAGGCGGUGAGUGAAGUCUGCUGUGAAAUCCCUGGGCUCAACCUGGGAAUGGCGUGGAUACUGGCUUGCUGGAGUACGGCAGAGGAAGGUGGAAUUCCCGGUGUAGCGGUGAAAUGCGUAGAGAUCGGGAGGAACAUCAGUGGCGAAGGCGACCUUCUGGGCCAGUACUGACGCUGAGGCACGAAAGCGUGGGAGCAAACAGGAUUAGAUACCCUGGUAGUCCACGCCCUAAACGAUGCGAACUGGAGGUUGGGUGCAACUUGGCACGCAGUCUCGAAGCUAACGCGUUAAGUUCGCCGCCUGGGGAGUACGGUCGCAAGACUGAAACUCAAAGGAAUUGACGGGGGCCCGCACAAGCGGUGGAGUAUGUGGUUUAAUUCGAUGCAACGCGCAGAACCUUACCUGGCCUUGACAUGUCCGGAAUCCUGCCGAGAUGCGGGAGUGCCUUCGGGAAUCGGAACACAGGUGCUGCAUGGCUGUCGUCAGCUCGUGU